CAGUCUCAUGCGAAGGGAGAUAUCCAGAAACCGCGAUAAGCUCGGACCUCCUCUGUUCCAUCGUUUAAGUGCAAACUGAAAUCGAACAAGGGACAACAGGCGGCAAUUCCCUGCUUUGGCUUUAGCGAACCAGUUGGAGCAUCGAAGAUUGCUUGACAGGCAGUAGAAAGAGGGCCAGUUCUUGGUUUAUGCCUUUUUUGGUUGGUGAGGUGACUGCUAAUUUCUGUCU